CCCUAUGGGGCGCACCGAAUACUUGGAACUAUUUGCUUGAACACAGAGAAUAUCUGGAUAGAAGGAAAAGUUCGAUAUACAAAAACAAACCGGAAUUUUCCGUGUUCGGUAUAGGGGCAUAUUCCUUCAGGCAAUGGAAAAUUGCCAUAUCGGGCUUAUAUAAGAAAUUGAAGUUUCAUCUUGUCGGACCAUUGGAUGGCAAAACCGUGAUUUUCGAUGAUACGGUGAAUUUUCUGUCUUUCGACACCAAAGAAGAGGCUGAAUUUGUUUAUCGCCUGAUCACAUCCGCACCUGCUCUUGAAUUGUUCGGGUCAAUGGUGUUUUGGGAUGAGAAACGUCCUGUAACGGUACAACUGCUGAGAAGACUGUCAAUAAAGGAAUUGGCGGGGGGGC
rnacentral:rRNA from 1 species